UUGACAGUGCACGUGCCUCUCAAAAGUCCAAACCCUAAAUUUGAAAUCAACCCAAAAGUCCAAAGUUUCAUUCGAGUAGCUCCUGGUUCUUAUCUCUCCCGCACUGUUCUCGUUCUUUCUAUGCGUGAAUUGAACCAAACUUUCAUUCGAGACAGUUGAACUGUCGAAAAAGGUCAAAAGACGCUUCAGAUGUAUUACCUUGGUUUUUUAAAAAGCCGAAAACUUGAGGAGAAAAUGGAAGUUGUAAAUGAACAAGAUUCUCAUCAUCCACUCCCUCCUAUUCGUGCUUCAACUCCUCAACAUAUGACGUUUUUUUUUUGCUUAUUCUGAGCUCAAUUUUGUUAGCAUUGCUGUGGCGUACGAACGACCACACCCAUGAAAGGAAGUCCCGGAUCUGGUGGUGACGCGGCUAAGGUUCCGUCGUUGGAGUUGUGACUGUGGCGUACGAACGGGUAUUCAGGUCAACGGUGAUGGUUGGAAUACCCUGGAUUGGACCUGAGCAUAGCUUUUUGAAAGAUCUAGGUCGUACCGAAUAGUAUAUCAUCACUGAUGAAGAAGCAUUGGAAGGAAAAUCCUACAACAAUAAUGGUCCUUCUUACAGUAUAUGGUCAUGUUCUUGCUGAAUGUUUAAAAGAUGAAAGCACACCUCUAAGGCUCGCAGCUGAAGUGUGACACUAGGAGAUGAAGAGGCACUAUCCACUACCGAAGUGUUCUUUACAAGAUGGUUGCUUGGUUGGCCUCCCUAUUUAAAGAGCGCAUCAUAUACGUGAUGCGCUCGCAUCACGCAUCGCGCAUCAGAUUUUUCGACAAAACGCAUGCGCAUCACACUAUUUAAGAAGUUGACACAUUAUGCACCUGGUGUGCCAAUCUUCCUUGUUGGGACCAAACUUGGUGAGUCAAUCUCUCUUCCUUCUAUCCUUCAUGAAGAAACACAACAUCAAGAAAACACAUCGUGACAAAUGUCACACAUCGUAACAGCAUGAAUGGUAAAACACAGCUUC
rnacentral:lncRNA from 1 species